CCUACGGGUGACAGCAGUAGGGAAUAUUUCACAAUGGGGGAAACCCUGAUGCAGCAACGCCGCGUGGAGGAUGAAGGUUUUCGGAUUGUAAACUGCUUUUGUUAGAGAAGAUAAUGACGGUAUCUUACGAAUAAGCACCGGCUAACUCCGUGCCAGCAGCCGCGGUAAUACGUGGGGUGCAAGCGUUAUCCGGAAUCACUGGGCGUAAAGAGCGCGUAGGCGGGAUAGCAAGUCAGAUGUGAAAUCCUAUGGCUUAACCAUAGAACUGCAUUUGAAACUGUUAUUCUAGAGUAUGGGAGGGGUAGGUGGAAUUCUGGGUGUAGGAGUAAAAUCCGUAGAGAUCAAGAGGAAUACUCAUUGCGAAGGCGACCUGCUAGAACAUAACUGACGCUGAUGCGCGAAAGCGUGGGGAGCAAACAGGAUUAGAUACCCUUGUAGUC
rnacentral:rRNA from 1 species